rnacentral:miRNA from 1 species
AUGAGAAUCCUCUGGAGAACUUGUUAAAAUACAGAUUCCAACCCGGUAGUUCUUGGUCAGGGCCUGAGAUUCUGCACUUCUAAUGAGCUCCCAGGUUCUGCU